rnacentral:rRNA from 1 species
CAAGUUUUUAAGGGCGCACGGUGGAUGCCUUGGCACCAGGAACCGAUGAAGGACGUGGGAGGCCACGAUAGGCCCCGGGGAGCUGUCAACCGAGCUUUGAUCCGGGGGUGUCCGAAUGGGGAAACCCGGCAGUCGUCAUGGGCUGUCACCCAUACCUGAACACAUAGGGUAUGUGGAGGGAACGCGGGGAAGUGAAACAUCUCAGUACCCGCAGGAAGAGAAAACAACCGUGAUUCCGGGAGUAGUGGCGAGCGAAACUGGAUGAGGCCAAACCGUAUUGGUGUGAUACCCGGCAGGGGUUGCCAGUGCGGGGUUGUGGGAUCUCUUUUCUGCAGUCUGCCGGCUGUGGGACGAGUCAGAAACCGUUGAUGUAGGCGAAGGACAUGCGAAAGGUCCGGCGUAGAGGGUAAGACCCCCGUAGCUGAAACGUCAGCGGCUCGUUUAAGAGACACCCAAGUAGCACGGGGCCCGUGAAAUCCCGUGUGAAUCUGGCGGGACCACCCGCUAAGCCUAAAUAUUCCCUGGUGACCGAUAGCGGAUAGUACCGUGAGGGAAUGGUGAAAAGUACCGCGGGAGCGGAGUGAAAUAGUACCUGAAACCGUGUGCCUACAAGCCGUGGGAGCGUCGCUAUGCAGCUUGCUGCAUAGUCGUGACUGCGUGCCUUUUGAAGAAUGAGCCUGCGAGUUUGCGGUAUGUUGCGAGGUUAACCCGUGUGGGGAAGCCGUAGCGAAAGCGAGUCCGAAGAGGGCGUUCAGUAGCGUGCCCAAGACCCGAAGCGGAGUGAUCUAGCCAUGGGCAGGUUGAAGCGGAGGUAAGACUUCGUGGAGGACCGAACCCACCAGGGUUGAAAACCUGGGGGAUGACCUGUGGUUAGGGGUGAAAGGCCAAUCAAACUCCGUGAUAGCUGGUUCUCCCCGAAAUGCAUUUAGGUGCAGCGUCGUGUGUUUCUUGCCGGAGGUAGAGCACUGGAUAGGCGAUGGGCCCUACCGGGUUACUGACCUUAGCCAAACUCCGAAUGCCGGUAAGUGAGAGCGCGGCAGUGAGACUGUGGGGGAUAAGCUCCAUGGUCGAGAGGGAAACAGCCCAGAGCAUCGACUAAGGCCCCUAAGCGUGUGCUAAGUGGGAAAGGAUGUGGAGUCGCAGAGACAACCAGGAGGUUGGCUUAGAAGCAGCCAUCCUUGAAAGAGUGCGUAAUAGCUCACUGGUCAAGUGAUUCCGCGCCGACAAUGUAGCGGGGCUCAAGCACACCGCCGAAGUCGUGUCAUUGCAGUAUGUACUCCUAACGGGGACUGUGAUGGGUAGGGGAGCGUCGUGUGCCGGGUGAAGCAGCACCGGAAGGUAGUUGUGGACGGUUCACGAGUGAGAAUGCAGGCAUGAGUAGCGAUACACACGUGGGAAACGUGUGCGCCGAUUGACUAAGGGUUCCUGGGUCAAGCUGAUCUGCCCAGGGUAAGUCGGGACCUAAGGCGAGGCCGACAGGCGUAGUCGAUGGACAACCGGUUGAUAUUCCGGUACCCGCUUUGAAGCGCCAAACAUCGAAUCAGGCGAUGCUAAGUCCGUGAAGCCGCCCUGAGCUCUUCGGAGCGUAGGGGAGUGGUGGAGCCGACGAACCAGACUUGUAGUAGGUGAGUGAUGGGGUGACGCAGGAAGGUAGUCCAGCCCGGGCGGUGGUUGUCCCGGGGUAAGGGUGUAGCCCGUGCGGUAGGCAAAUCCGUCGCACGUUAAGGGUGAGACCUGAUGCCGAGCCGAUUGUGGUGAAGUGGAUGAUCCUAUGCUGUCGAGAAAAGCCUCUAGCGAGUUUCAUGGCGGCCCGUACCCUAAACCGACUCAGGUGGUCAGGUAGAGAAUACCGAGGCGUUCGGGUGAACUAUGGUUAAGGAACUCGGCAAAAUGCCCCCGUAACUUCGGGAGAAGGGGGGCCAUUGCUGGUGAUGAGUCUUGCACUCUGAGCUGGUGGUGGCCGCAGAGACCAGCGAGAAGCGACUGUUUACUAAAAACACAGGUCCGUGCGAAGCCGUAAGGCGAUGUAUACGGACUGACGCCUGCCCGGUGCUGGAACGUUAAGGGGACCGGUUAGCUCUGUUUCGACAGGGCGAAGCUGAGAACUUAAGCGCCAGUAAACGGCGGUGGUAACUAUAACCAUCCUAAGGUAGCGAAAUUCCUUGUCGGGUAAGUUCCGACCUGCACGAAUGGCGUAACGACUUCUCGACUGUCUCAACCAUAGGCCCGGUGAAAUUGCACUACGAGUAAAGAUGCUCGUUUCGCGCAGCAGGACGGAAAGACCCCGGGACCUUUACUAUAGCUUGAUAUUGGUGUUCGGUUCGGCUUGUGUAGGAUAGGUGGGAGACUGUGAACUCGUCACGCCAGUGGCGGGGGAGUCGUUGUUGAAAUACCACUCUGGUCGUGCUGGAUGUCUAACCUGGGUCCGUGAUCCGGAUCAGGGACAGUGUCUGGUGGGUAGUUUAACUGGGGCGGUUGCCUCCUAAAGAGUAACGGAGGCGCCCAAAGGUUCCCUCAGCCUGGUUGGCAAUCAGGUGUUGAGUGUAAGUGCACAAGGGAGCUUGACUGUGAGACUGACGGGUCGAGCAGGUACGAAAGUAGGGACUAGUGAUCCGGCGGUGGCUUGUGGAAGCGCCGUCGCUCAACGGAUAAAAGGUACCCCGGGGAUAACAGGCUGAUCUUCCCCAAGAGUCCAUAUCGACGGGAUGGUUUGGCACCUCGAUGUCGGCUCGUCGCAUCCUGGGGCUGGAGUCGGUCCCAAGGGUUGGGCUGUUCGCCCAUUAAAGCGGUACGCGAGCUGGGUUUAGAACGUCGUGAGACAGUUCGGUCCCUAUCCGCUGUGCGCGUAGGAGUCUUGAGAAGGGCUGUCCCUAGUACGAGAGGACCGGGACGGACGAACCUCUGGUGUGCCAGUUGUCCUGCCAAGGGCAUGGCUGGUUGGCUACGUUCGGAAAGGAUAACCGCUGAAAGCAUCUAAGCGGGAAGCCUGCUUCGAGAUGAGGGCUCCCUCCUCCUUGAGAGGGUAAGGCUCCCAGUAGACGACUGGGUUGAUAGGCCAGAUAUGGAAGCCCGGUAACGGGUGGAGUUGACUGGUACUAAUAGGCCGAGGGCUUGUCC